rnacentral:tRNA from 1 species
AGCUCUGUAGUUCAAGGGAUAGAACAAAAGUUUCCUAAACUUUAGAUACAGGUUCGAUUCCUGUCAGAGCUACAA